AUUAAUAAUUAUUUCCUAACAAUUGUCUUUGUAUUUUACGUCAUAUUCAACAAGUUUCGUAGCUUAAUCGAAGUCACCUGAAGGACGGCUUUCCUCAGCAACGGCAAGGCCCGCACUCCUCUCAUAUUGUGAAGUUUAACAAGUUUCGCGGCUCAAGCAAGAGGCACCUGUCACUGAAGGACUGCUUUUCUCAGCUACGACGUGAACAGCAUCACUCGAAUUUCCUGGUUCAGCUGAUCUACCCAUCUUCGUACAAGCAGAGUUGGCAGAGGAGGUCAUAAAAAUCUACAUCCUUCGGGACAAUGAUGGGGCAGUCAGCGAUGUAAUCUUGGGAAUCACAGCAGAGCCUGCUGCCAUCUUUUGGGAGUCACAUUGGAUUUGAGAUAUCCCAAGACCCACAAAUACAGGUCCUUCUCCAAAAAUUAGCAUAUUGUGAUAAAGUUCAUUAUUUUCCUUGAUGUAAUGAUAAAAAUUAAACUUUCAUAUAUUUUAGAUUCAUUGCACACCAACUGAAAUAUUUCAGGUCUUUUAUUGUUUAAAUACUGAUGCUUUUGGCAUACAGCUCAUGAAAACCCCAAACUCCUAUCUCAAAAAAUUAGCUUAUUUCAUCUGACCAAUAAAAGAAAGGUGUUUUUAAUACAAAAAAAAGUCAACCUUCAAAUAAUUAUGUUCAGUUAUGCACUUAAUACUUGGUCGGGAAUCCUGCAGAAAUGACUGCUUCAGUGUGGCAUGGAGGCAUGCCUGUGGCACUGCUGAGGUGUUAUGGAGGCCCAGGAUGCCUUGAUAGCGGCCUUAAGCUCAUCCAGAGUGUUGGAUCUUGCGUCUCUCAACUUUCUCUUCACAAUAUCCCACAGAUUCACUAUGGGGUUCAGGUCAGGAGAGUUGGCAGGCCAAUUGAGCACAGUAAUACCAUGGUCAGUAAACCAUUUACCAGUGGUUUUGGCACUGUAAGCAGGUGCCAGGUCGUGCUAAAAAACGAAAUCAUCUCCAUAAAGCUUUUCAGCAGAUGGAAGCAUGAAGUGCUCCAAAAUCUACUGAUAACUAGCUGCACUGACCCUGCCCUUGAUAAAACACAGUGGACCAACACCAGCAGCUGACAUGGCACCCCAGACCAUCACUGACUGUGGGUACUUGACACUGGACUUCAGGCAUUUUGGCAUUUCCUUCUCCCCAGUCUUCCUCCAGACUCUGGCACCUUGAUUUCCGAAUGACAUGCAAAAUUGGCUUUCAUCCAAAAAAAGUACUUAGGACCACUGAGCAACAGUCCAGUGCUGCUUCUCUGUAGCCCAUUUCCUGCACACGCCUGUGCACGGUGGCUCUGGAUGUUUCUACUCCAGACUCAGUCCACUGCUUCCGCAGGUCCCCCAAGGUCUGGAAUCAGUCCUUCUCCACAAUCUUCCUCAGGGUCCGGUCACUGCUUCUCGUUGUGCAGCGUUUUUUGCCACACUUUUUCCUUCCUACAGACUUCCCACUGAGGUGCCUUGAUACAGCACUCUGGUAACAGCCUAUUCGUUCAGAAAUUUAUUUCUGUGUCUUACCCUCUCGCUUGAGGGUGUCAAUGAUGGCCUUCUGGACAGCAGUCAGGUCGGCAGUCUUACCCAUG